UCACACUUUUAUUAGUUGUGAAACAAACACUAAAAUUGCACAACGCGCAGUGAAAACAACAAUAAAAAUUUAAACACAAUAUUUGCGUAAAAUAAUCUAAUAUACCGUAAUGUACGGCCCACCAGGAGGACCUCAUCACCCACCGCAUCAUCCUCAUCAUCCCCCACCCCCUGGGCCGCCUCAUCAUCCACCACACCAUCUACCACCGCCUGGGCCCCCACAUCAUCAUCAUCAUCACCCCCCACCGCCGCAUCAUCACCGCCCACCGCCGCAUCAUUACCCUCCGCCACCGCAUCAUCGCCCUCCCGGACCGGGGGGACCAUUUCUACGAUGAAAAGCGGAUUCUUAUUAGAUCUUCGAAUUUAUUUAUAUUACUUGAAUAAAAAUUUAUGAAAUUUGA
rnacentral:lncRNA from 1 species